CGGGACAGAAAUUGAGCAUCAAGACGGGGCUGCUCAGGAUGUCCUUGUGGUAUCGCUUCCUCACAAACUCCAACUGCAGAAGACCUGGAAGUCUCACUGCUGUGAUCAAUCACCACCACGCAGCUCUGCACUAACCUACAUUUCCUGUCAAGUGAAAUGUCAUGUGCUUACCUGCUCUGACCUGAACCCACAGAGCUGAUCAGAAACUCUGAUCCUGAACCUGCUGUUCAGCCACAAGCUAACACACACACCGGAUGGAUGCAUGCUGUGAUUUUAGUGCACCACAGGAUCAUUCAACACCAAUGCUUUUGUCUUCUACAUUUGUUAACACAGACAAGGUUGUCCUAUACUCAGAACAUUUAAUGGAAAACAGGAGCUGGUCAGUGUUUGGAAGCUGUGGGAGCUGUUGAGUAGGUUGGUGUAUGUGCAUCGAAGCUAAAAACAACUGGAUAUUCUGUCGUAGCAGGGACAUUGCACCAGAGGGAACCCACAAGAUCACAUAAUGGCACAAAGAGUGUGAGGCUGAGUCUUAGCAGCAGGUGGACAGAGUGAACAAGUGCUCCAGCACGUUGAGAGGCACAUCUAAGUCUGACCUCCCUCCCUCCCUGCAGGUAAGGUACAUCCACCUGCACAUUUAAAGUACUUCCAAUACAUCUACCAACCAAAGCCUGGAAGAGGAAAGGAUGGAAGGGCAUGCGGCCAAUCAGACGGGCAGGGUAUCAUUUAAAACAGUGGUUACCAACUGGUGGAUCGCAUCCAAAAGUUGGUCGUGGGUCCAUCUUGAAUGGACUGCAAGUGACUUGCAAACAUGUGGAGUUUGUAAAAAAUGUACUUU